rnacentral:rRNA from 1 species
AUGAAUCCGUUUCAGAACGAUUUGUUCGCUUCCGCUAGCUCCCAGUAUGAAUAUCCGGAGAUGUAUCCACCUCCUAAUUAUCCCGUAAAUUUGUCUUCCCAACCACAUAUGUCCCAACAAUUUGAUUCAAGUGGAUAUUAUGGCUAUGGUUCUACUCCGAGUAUGCAGCACAAUGCUGCCAAUGGCCAGGGCGACGACGACAGCGAUGACGACGACGACGACGACAAUGACAAUGCAGAAGAUACCCGAGGCCGGCGUCUAGCUUGGACCGAGGACGACAACAUUAGACUGGUGAGUAGUCAACAAGUAUUUUUAUGCUUGUAG